rnacentral:rRNA from 1 species
GAUGAACGCUGGCGGCGUGCCUAAUACAUGCAAGUCGAGCGAACAGACGAGGAGCUUGCUUGUCUGCAGUUAGCGGCGGAUGGGUGAGUAAUACGUGGAUAACCGGCCUAUAGGAAUGAGAUAACUUCGGGAAAGCGGAGCUAAUACAGGUUAAGAUAGUGAAACGGAUGGUUCUAUAGUGAACAAGGGUUUUGAUGUCACUAAUAGGUGGUUCCGCGCGGCUUUAGCUAAUUGGUAAGGUAACGGCUUACCAAGGCGACGAUGCGUAGCCGACCUGAGAGGGUGAUAGGCCACACUGGAACUGAAACACGGUCCAGACUCCUACGGGAGGCAGCAGUAGGGAAUCUUCCGCAAUGGGCGAAAGCCUGACGGAGCAACGCCGCGUGAGUGAGGAAGGUCUUCGAAUCGUAAAACUCUGUUAUUAGGGAAGAACAAAUGUGUAAGUAACUAUGCACGUCUUGACUGUACCUAAUCAGAAAGCCACGGCUAACUACGU